rnacentral:rRNA from 1 species
GAUGAACGCUGGCGGCGUGCCUAAUACAUGCAAGUCGAGCGAACAGACGAGGAGCUUGCUCCUCUGACGUUAGCGGCGGACGGGUGAGUAACACGUGGAUAACCUACCUAUAAGACUGGGAUAACUUCGGGAAACCGGAGCUAAUACCGGAUAAUAUAUUGAACCGCAUGGUUCAAUAGUGAAAGACGGUUUUGCUGUCACUUAUAGAUGGAUCCGCGCCGCAUUAGCUAGUUGGUAAGGUAACGGCUUACCAAGGCAACGAUGCGUAGCCGACCUGAGAGGGUGAUCGGCCACACUGGAACUGAGACACGGUCCAGACUCCUACGGGAGGCAGCAGUAGGGAAUCUUCCGCAAUGGGCGAAGGCCUGACGGAGCCACGCCGCGUGAGUGAUGAAGGUCUUCGGAUCGUAAAGCUCUGUUAUUAGGGAAGAACAAAUGUGUAAGUAACUAUGCACGUCUUGACGGUACCUAAUCAGAAAGCCACGGCUAACUACGUG